CCAACCCAAACCACUGUGGGAUUCUAUAAUGUCAGGGCUUAUCUGCAAACAGUUUAAACCCCAGGGGUCAGAAAAGAAGAAAACUGGUUCUCAUUUACCACGUUUAAUCUUCGUAUUGAAAUUAUUCACAGCAGAAAAAAAUUCUCCCAAGUUCUCUCUGUUGCUGUUCCAGUUGCUAAGUCUGGAAUGCAGAACCAUCAGCAUUUACAGCCUGGCUGCAGACAGAAGUAGUUGAGGAAGCACCAGGUGGAAAUACCUCUGGCAUUGAACCUGGCUCAUCAAACUCUGCUCUUGGACCUGAGCUCAUUCACCACCCUGAAAGACUUGUGGGUGAACGAGCUGAAUGCUCUUUGGAAAGUUCUGGCCAAUAACUGAGUGAUUCUCAACGUUGUUAUUUCAUGCACAAAAUAAAAAGAGAUAUUUAAAUGCACAGAAGCCUGCUCUUAGAAUUAGGCUCUGAGGGCAAUGUUAUCCAGACAGACUGCUGAGCCCAGCUGGUAAAUCCUUCAAAUCAUCCUGAUUCAUGGGAAUAGAAAGACCUAUCAGAUAUCAAGAUCUGUUCAUUAAAACGUGCACAAAUGUGUCCUACUAUGGGUCUUGCAUUGAUAUGAAUUUUGCAAAAGAUGUUUAGAAUAUAGAAUCUUGUCCAAGGGUUUUAUUCAUUUCUUUCUGGUCCUGACGUGGAUGAGACAACGCCAAGGGCAAAGAACAUCAGAAGGGCAAGAGCAUUUCUUCCACCAAAAAAACAGAAAAAGAAAGAGCUCGAGCUCCUAUGAGCAUGAGAAUUUAGGGAAAGAGGGAAGUUCAGAAGGAAAAAGAGACUCCCAUGGAAGUUAAGGCACUUCUAGGUAUCCAAGUGUCCAGCUCCUUUCAUGAUGUGGGAGGUGAAAAACCUAUUGACAGGAGCUGUUUUCAAUUAAAUGUCGUACAUAAGUAAAUAUGUGUAAAUUCACAUGUGUCACCCUGUAUUUUCUUCAUGUCCUUUUGCUUCUCAGGAAGUUUAUCUUGCCUGUAGUGCACAAUUCUUUCUAAGCCAUUACACUGUGACAGCAGGGUAGAAAUUAAAUCACACGCUGCAGACUUGCCA